AUGGGAGCUUGCUCCCUGAUGUUAGCGGCGGACGGGUGAGUAACACGUGGGUAACCUGCCUGUAAGACUGGGAUAACUCCGGGAAACCGGGGCUAAUACCGGAUGGUUGUUUGAACCGCAUGGUUCAAACAUAAAAGGUGGCUUCGGCUACCACUUACAGAUGGACCCGCGGCGCAUUAGCUAGUUGGUGAGGUAACGGCUCACCAAGGCAACGAUGCGUAGCCGACCUGAGAGGGUGAUCGGCCACACUGGGACUGAGACACGGCCCAGACUCCUACGGGAGGCAGCAGUAGGGAAUCUUCCGCAAUGGACGAAAGUCUGACGGAGCAACGCCGCGUGAGUGAUGAAGGUUUUCGGAUCGUAAAGCUCUGUUGUUAGGGAAGAACAAGUACCGUUCGAAUAGGGCGGUAUCUUGACGGUACCUAACCACAAAGCCACGGCUAACUACAUGCCAGCACCCGCGGGUAAUACGUAUGUGGCAAGCGUUGUCCGGAAUUAUUGGGCGUAAGGGCUCGCAGGCGGCUUUCUUAAGUCUGAUGUGAUAGCCCCCGGCUCACCCGGGCCACGGGUCAUUGGUAGACUGAGGCAACUUGAGUGCAGAAUAGAGGAGUGAAA
rnacentral:rRNA from 1 species